rnacentral:rRNA from 1 species
GAUGAACGCUGGCGGCGUGCCUAAUACAUGCAAGUCGAGCGAACGGACGAGAAGCUUGCUUUUCUGAUGUUAGCGGCGGACGGGUGAGUAACACGUGGAUAACCUACCUAUAAGACUGGGAUAACUUCGGGAAACCGGAGCUAAUACCGGAUAAUAUUUUGAACCGCAUGGUUCAAAAGUGAAAGACGGUCUUGCUGUCACUUAUAGAUGGAUCCGCGCUGCAUUAGCUAGUUGGUAAGGUAACGGCUUACCAAGGCAACGAUGCAUAGCCGACCUGAGAGGGUGAGCGGCCACACUGGAACUGAGACACGGUCCAGACUCCUACGGGAGGCAGCAGUAGGGAAUCUUCCGCAAUGGGCGAAAGCCUGACGGAGCAACGCCGCGUGAGUGAUGAAGGUCUUCGGAUCGUAAAACUCUGUUAUUAGGGAAGAACAUAUGUGUAAGUAACUGUGCACAUCUUGACGGUACCUAAUCAGAAAGCCCCGGCUAACUACGUG